AACGUAGGGGACAAGCGUUAUCCGGAUUUACUGGGCGUAAAGCGCCCGUAGGCGGCCUGACAAGUUGGACGUGAAAGCUCCUGGCUUAACUGGGAGAGGCCGUUCAAAACUGUCAAGCUAGAGUCUGGAAGAGGAGAGCGGAAUUCCCGGUGUAGUGGUGGAAUGCGUAGAGAUCGGGAGGAACACCAGUGGCGAAGGCGGGUUGCUGGGCUGACACUGACGCUGAUUGUGCGAAAGCUAGGGGAGCGAACGGG
rnacentral:rRNA from 1 species